CAUCACCUGCAGAUGAGGCUUGCAAAUGUGAAAGCUGGAAGAAAGGGAAACCUUAAUGUUGCCAUUGAGAUAUUUCAAGUGGCACCUUCUCUUCACAUGGUUGAGGUACGGAAGGCAAAAGGAGACACAUUGGAGUUCCAUAAGUUCUACAAGAAGCUUUCAACAAGCCUGGAUAAUGUUGUUUGGAAAACAAAAGAUGAUGUGCAAAUGAGAAAAACAAUUGAUAUUUAUUAUUAUUAUUAUUAUUAUUAUUAUUAUUAUUAUUAUUAUUAUUAUUAUUAUUAUCAAGUGUAAUUUUCUUCAUUUCUGAAGUUCUACUAUUUUCCAAUUUCUUCAUUCUUAUUUCCUCUAAGGUUCCUUCCUGUAGGUUUGUUUGGAAAUUCCAUAGUACU